GGAAGAUAAUGGAGUCCAGCGUUUAGCAGUGACAUCGGAAACGGUGAAGUCGGCGCACGAUACCCCCAUGACUGCGUCAUUGGAUCACGAAACGGGGGAAGCUGCGUUGCAGUCCGUGCGCUGGGUCAGGGUGCCCCCUCCACCAAGGGAAGCUGCAUUGCAGCCCGUGCACCCUCCACACAGGGCGGGAUGAAGUCCGUGAGGCCCCGGUUCCCAAGCGUGACCCGCAGGUGCCAGGAGUGAGGGGGAAAGUUUGGCCACAGGGGUCGAGGGUCCAUCCACAUCUGCGUCCACGUCUACAGUUCGUGUGUCGACCGCCUCAGUCCUGCAAACCCAGAACGAGUUGAACACAUUGGUUGGGCAGAUUGUGACUGAACUUGCAAGAAUGCGCAGG
rnacentral:lncRNA from 1 species